rnacentral:misc_RNA from 1 species
GAAAUGCGAUAAGUAGUGUGAAUUGCAGAAUUCAGUGAAUCAUCGAAUCUUUGAACGCACAUUGCGCCCCUUGGUAUUCCAUGGGGCAUGCCUGUUCGAGCGUCAUUUGUACCCUCAAGCUCUGCUUGGUGUUGGGUGUUUGUCCCCGUCUCCGCGCGUGGACUCGCCCCAAAGUGAUUGGCAGCCGGCGUACUGGUCCCGGAGCGCAGCACAUGUCGCGCAAACGAGUGCCUUGGUACGGCGGCGUGCAUAAGCCCCUCUCUCACGCUCUUGACCUCGGAUCAGGUAGGGAUACCCGCUGAACUUAAGC